rnacentral:rRNA from 1 species
GAUGAACGCUAGCUACAGGCUUAACACAUGCAAGUCGAGGGGUAACGAGAGGAAAGCUUGCUUUCCUUGUCGACGACCGGCGCACGGGUGAGUAACGCGUAUCCAACCUGCCCCCAACUAAGGAAUAACCUUGCGAAAGUAAGACUAAUCCCUUAUAAUUUCCUCAGAUGUCAUCUGACGAGGAAUAAAGAUUUAUCGGUUGUGGAUGGGGAUGCGUCUGAUUAGCUUGUUGGCGGGGUAACGGCCCACCAAGGCAACGAUCAGUAGGGGUUCGGGGAGGAAGGUCCCCCACAUUGGGACUGAGACGCGGUCCAAACUCCUACGGGAGGCAGCAGUGAGGAAUAUUAGUCAAUGUGCGAAAGCCUUAACCAGCCAAGUAGCGUGCAGGAUGACGGCCCUAUGGGUUGUAAACUACUUUUAUACAGGAAUAAAGUUAGCCACGUGUGGUUAUUUGUAGGUACUGUAUGAAUAAGGACCGGCUAAUUCCGUGCCAGCCGCCGCCGUAA